GAUGAACGCUAGCUACAGGCUUAACACAUGCAAGUCGAGGGGAAACGAUAGAGAAAGCUUGCUUUUUCUAGGCGUCGACCGGCGCACGGGUGAGUAACGCGUAUCCAACCUGCCCAUCACUUGGGGAUAACCCUGCGAAAGUAAGACUAAUACCCAAUGAUAUCUCUAGAAGACAUCUGAAAGAGAUUAAAGAUUUAUCGGUGAUGGAUGGGGAUGCGUCUGAUUAGCUUGUUGGCGGGGUAACGGCCCACCAAGGCGACGAUCAGUAGGGGUUCUGAGAGGAAGGUCCCCCCACAUUGGAACUGAGACACGGUCCAAACUCCUACGGGAGGCAGCAGUGAGGAAUAUUGGUCAAUGGACGAGAGUCUGAACCAGCCAAGUAGCGUGCAGGAUGACGGCCCUAUGGGUUGUAAACUGCUUUUAUAAGGGAAUAAAGUGAGUCUCGUGAGACUUUUUGCAUGUACCUUAUGAAUAAGGACCGGCUAAUUCCGUGCCAGCA
rnacentral:rRNA from 1 species